AUACCUCAGCUAAGAGAAUUAUUAACUUUCUCAACACUUAAUUUCAUUUGGUUAUUUGUUACUCAAUUGUUAUACAGCUACAUAACUCUAAAGCUUUCUAACCGUGGAUCUAAUUCAUUUUCUAAUAGGUAAAAUAGGAAAGAAAAAUAUCUAUGACUGGCCAGCGACCUGGAAGAAUUAGCCAAUCACAUCAUUUUCUGGGGUUGCAUUUCUAAGUAAAAGGUGGAAUGUAUAUAAUGGCUAGGAUAUAUUAUACACAGGAUUAUGUCUUCAAAAUACUCCUGUCACAACUCUAAUGCUUGGUUUAAUUGUCAUAUUCAAGAGUUAUUAUGAGUUUAGGGAGCAACAACACAAAAAUAAUAACCCAAACUAAAAUUUAUAAUUGUCAUUUCUUGUCACUGUCUUUUUGAAGAAUUGAUGUUACAAUAAAAAAUGAAACUUUGGAGGAGGACUCAAGAUGACGCUGUGAGGACAACCCAGGAUUGGAGCUCUCCUUGAAUCCGCAGAGAGGAGUGUGCCACAUUAUCACUGUUAUAAAUGGUGUUUGUCAUAAUCAAGGACACAUGAAGAACCUAUGAAAGAAGUUAACUAAGAAUGACCUCUGCCUGCCUCCAGGGAAAGCAAACCAUGCCAAUCCACAAGAAGAUGAUGUGCUUGUCGGUAUUACAAGCUUUUAUGAUUCUCGUGGUCAAUAGCCUAGUGAUUAAAAUGUGCAUUCUUGACUUACUAAAAGGUAAGACUUUUUCUACUUCUUAGACAUCGCAAGAUCAUAAAAGACUUUGUCUGUUUGUAUCCUAUUGUUUUUACUACUAUUUAUGUGGAUUUUAUUCCUCUGUAUAUUUUAAACCCUAAAGACAUUAUUAUCUUUCCAGAAAAUAUUCAUUUAGAAUUAUACACAUAUUUAUACUAAACAGCAUAUUCCUCUUCGCUCUCUCCUGUUUUUUUUUCCAUACUUGGAUUUUCUUUUUUGUUUGUUUGUUUUUUUUAAUUGAAUGCUGACCAUUGUUUACAAAUAUUGAGCUAUUUCUAGCAUUGGAUAUUGUUAUCUUCCUCCAGUAAGGGUUUACUUCAGUUAUGGAGGGGAUUAAACUAAGAGAGAAUCAUGUUAAUCCAGUCAGAGGUUUAGUUGAUUUGAAAUGGAGUAUAAGACUUUGUGAGGGUUAUUCUAUUUCUAAUUCAUCAGAAUAGGCUAAUUAAUAGACUGCCAUUUUCAGGAUCAAAACCUUCUACACAGACGUCGAAUUCUGUAUUUCACCUAGAAAACCUAUAGAAGGUUGUUGUUAUCAAAUAGUAUCAGCAAUUUCAAUGCAAAAUAAUUAGUGGUUAUGAUUAAGUUUUUCCUCUAUGUUCAAGACAGGUCAGUGUGAUCUGACUUCAUAAAUAUUGUAUUAGGAGGAACUGGAACCAGUAUCAGAAUUGCAAACUCUUGUAAUAUAGAAAUACUGACAAACUAGUGCCUUAGAGCAACUGCAGAAACAUGUAAGUCAGAUGCAAACAGAAUGAAAUCAUAAUAUAAUGCAAGAUUUACUGGACAUUAAAAAAUUGGAAUGGAAUUAGUGAAGCCUUUGGAAUUGGGUAGCUUGGAAUUGAAUUCUGUUGCAACAAAAUAAAAAAAUUGUCAGAAUCUCUCACCUGUAUAAUGAUGCUACAACUAGCUAUUAAAAAGCUAUAAUCUACAACUAGCUAUUAAAAAGCUAUUACCUACUUAUGAAAGUAGUUAGAUAUUCUGCAUGGAGCUAUCUAUGGAAAGAAUAAGGGAUGAUAUAAAAUGUUUGCUUCUAUUAGAAAUAGAAAAACUGAAAUUUUAAAUUUGCAAGUUGAAACUAUUAAAAUCUAAACCAACAAUGAUUAAAGAGUAUAUAUUUUAUUCUGUAGUGAUAUAGAACAGAUAUAUUAGAAGAAUGCCUGAAUUCUAGAAGAUUUAAUUAUUUUUUAUUCA
ensembl:lncRNA